UACGUAGGGGGCGAGCGUUGUCCGGAAUUACUGGGCGUAAAGAGUUCGUAGGCGGUCUGAUAAGUCAGAUGUGAAAGGCGUAGGCUUAACCUAUGUAAGCAUAUGAAACUGUCAGACUUGAGGUAAGGAGAGGAAAGUGGAAUUCCUAGUGUAGCGGUGAAAUGCGUAGAUAUUAGGAGGAAUACCAGUGGCGAAGGCGACUUUCUGGACUUAAACUGACGCUGAGGAACGAAAGCGUGGGGAGCAAACAGGAUUAGAUACCCUGGUAGUCCACGCCGUAAACGAUGAGUGCUAGGUGUCGGGUAGAAAUAUUCGGUGCCGCAGCUAACGCAAUAAGCACUCCGCCUGGGGAGUACGUACGCAAGUAUGAA
rnacentral:rRNA from 1 species